rnacentral:rRNA from 1 species
AGUGAACGCUGGCGGUAGGCCUAACACAUGCAAGUCGAACGGCAGCACAGUAAGAGCUUGCUCUUACGGGUGGCGAGUGGCGGACGGGUGAGGAAUACAUCGGAAUCUACUUUUUCGUGGGGGAUAACGUAGGGAAACUUACGCUAAUACCGCAUACGACCUACGGGUGAAAGCAGGGGAUCUUCGGACCUUGCGCGAUUGAAUGAGCCGAUGUCGGAUUAGCUAGUUGGCGGGGUAAAGGCCCACCAAGGCGACGAUCCGUAGCUGGUCUGAGAGGAUGAUCAGCCACACUGGAACUGAGACACGGUCCAGACUCCUACGGGAGGCAGCAGUGGGGAAUAUUGGACAAUGGGCGCAAGCCUGAUCCAGCCAUACCGCGUGAGUGAAGAAGGCCUUCGGGUUGUAAAGCCCUUUUGUUGGGAAAGAAAAGCAGCAGGUUAAUACCCCGCUGUUCUGACGGUACCCAAAGAAUAAGCACCGGCUAACUUCGUA